rnacentral:rRNA from 1 species
UGGGGAAUAUUGGACAAUGGGGGGAACCCUGAUCCAGCGAUGCCGCGUGUGUGAAGAAGGCCUGCGGGUUGUAAAGCACUUUCAGUUGGGAAGAUAGUCUGUUAGUGAAUAACUGGCAGAUGAGACGUUACUAACAAAAGAAGCACCGGCUAACUCUGUGCCAGCAGCCGCGGUAAUACAGAGGGUGCGAGCGUUAAUCGGAAUGACUGGGCGUAAAGGGCAUGUAGGCGGUUAUGUUAGUCUGAUGUGAAAGACCCGGGCUUAACCUGGGAUAUGCAUUGGAAACGGCAUAGCUAGAGUAUGGGAGAGGGAAGUGGAAUUUCCGGUGUAGCGGUGAAAUGCGUAGAGAUCGGAAAGAACACUCGUGGCGAAGGCGGCUUUCUGGCCCAUAACUGACGCUGAGGUGCGAAAGCAUGGGGAGCAAACAGGAUUAGAUACCCCGGUAGUCC